rnacentral:tRNA from 1 species
GCGGACAUCGUAUAGUGGCUAUUACCUCAGCCUUCCAAGCUGAUGACACGGGUUCAAUUCCCGUUGUCCGCUCAA